AACCCCUCAAAUCAGGCAGGACUACCCGCUGAACUUAAGCAUAUCAAUAAGCGGAGGAAAAGAAACUAACAAGGAUUCCCCUAGUAACUGCGAGUGAAGCGGGAAGAGCUCAAAUUUAAAAUCUGGCAGCCUGAUGGGCUUGUCCGAGUUGUAAUCUAGAGAAGUUGUCUUCCGCGCUGGGACCGUGUACAAGUCUCUUGGAAUGGAGCAUCAUAGAGGGUGAGAAUCCCGUCUCUGACACGGAAUUUACCGGUGCUUUUGUGAUGCGCUCUCGAAGAGUCGAGUUGUUUGGGAAUGCAGCUCAAAAUGGGUGGUAAAUUCCAUCUAAAGCUAAAUACAGGCGAGAGACCGAUAGCGAACAAGUACCGUGAGGGAAAGAUGAAAAGGACUUUGAAAAGAGAGUUAAACAUUACGUGAAAUUGUUGAAAGGGAAACGAUUCAAGUCAGUCGCAUUAGCCAGUAAUCAACCCUUGCAAUAACCUUGCUGGGCUUACUUUCUGGUUGAUGGGUCAGCAUCAAUUUUAACCAUCAGAGAAAGGCUUUGCGGGGAAUGUGACAUCUUCGGAUGUGUUAUAGCCCCAACUCGCAUGUGAUGGUUGGGAUCGAGGAACUCAGCA
rnacentral:rRNA from 1 species